UACAGAGGUCUCAAGCGUUGUUCGGAUUCAUUGGGCGUAAAGGGUGUGUAGGUGGCGCGCUAAGUCGGGUGUGAAAUUUCGGAGCUUAACUCCGAAACUGCAUUCGAUACUGGCGUGCUUGAGGACUGGAGAGGAGACUGGAAUUCAUGGUGUAGCAGUGAAAUGCGUAGAUAUCCGGAGGAACACCAGUGGCGAAGGCGGCUUCCUGGACCGACACUGACGCUGAGGCGCGAAAGCUAGGGGAGCAAACGGG
rnacentral:rRNA from 1 species